rnacentral:rRNA from 1 species
UACGUAGGGUGCGAGCGUUGAUCGGAAUUACUGGGCGUAAAGCGUGCGCAGGCGGUUUUGUAAGUCAGAUGUGAAAUCCCCGGGCUUAACCUGGGAAUGGCAUUUGGGACUGCAAGGCUGGAGUGCGGCAGAGGAGACUGGAAUUCCUGGUGUAGCAGUGAAAUGCGUAGAUAUCAGGAGGAAUACCGAUGGCGAAGGCAGGUCGCUGGGCUGACACUGACGCUCAUGCACGAAAGCGUGGGGAGCAAACAGG